rnacentral:ncRNA from 2 species
UAAUUCCUUUGGGGCAGGGUGUAAAUCCCGACCGACGGUGAUAGAUAGACGAAUAUCUUCAGUCCGUGACCCGGAGCACAUAGGUGUGAAGGUGGAUUUGGUGAAAAUCCAAAGCCGACAGUGAAAGUCUGGAGGGGAAAAGGAAUAA